AAGGGAGAAAGUGAUCUUGGGAGAGUGCUAAUUUUUCCGAGCCGUAGUUAGAUUCCACGGGUCCCUUA
rnacentral:tRNA from 1 species